GACAGCAGCCGCCGCGGUAAUACGUAGGUGGCAAGCGUUGUCCGGAAUUAUUGGGCGUAAAGGGCCCGCAGGCGGUUUCUUAAGUCUGAUGCGAAAGCCCCCGGCUCAACCGGGGAGGGUCAUUGGAAACUGGGAAACUUGAGUGCAGAAGAGGAGAGUGGAAUUCCACGUGUAGCGGUGAAAUGCGUAGAGAUGUGGAGGAACACCAGUGGCGAAGGCGACUCUCUGGUCUGUAACUGACGCUGAGGAGCGAAAGCGUGGGGAGCAAACAGGAUUAGAUACCCCUGUAGUCCCUGUCUCUUAUAC
rnacentral:rRNA from 1 species